AGGUCACUGCUAUUGGAGUUCGACUAAGCCAUGCGAGUCAAGAGUUCCUCGUGAACUCGGCGGACGGCUCAGUAACACGUGGGUAAUCUACCCUCGGGUCAGGGAUAACCCCGGGAAACUGGGGAUAAUACCUGAUAGGUGCAGGACUCUGGAACGACCCUGCACUGAAAGCCCCGGCGCCCGAGGAUGAGCCUGCGGCCGAUUAGGUAGUUGGCGGUGUAACGGACCACCAAGCCUAUGAUCGGUACGGGUGGUGAGAGCCAUAGCCCGGAGAUGGGGGCUGAGACACGGCCCCAGGCCCUACGGGGCGCAGCAGGCGCGAAAACUCCGCAAUGCGCGAAAGCGUGACGGGGGAACUCCAAGUGCCCUGCCUUCGGGUAGGGCUUUUGACCAGUGUAAGCAGCUGGUCGAAUAAGGGCUGGGUAAGACCGGUGCCAGCCGCCGCGGUAAUACCGGCAGCCCGAGUGGUGACCGCUUUUAUUGGGCCUAAAGCGUCCGUAGCCGGUCCGGUAAGUCCUUGGGUAAAUCCUCAGGCUCAACCUGAGGAACUCCGAGGAUACUGCCAGACUAGGAGUUGAGAGAAGUCAGAGGUACCUCCAGGGUAGGGGUGAAAUCCGAUAAUCCUGGAGGGACCACCAGUGGCGAAGGCGUCUGACUAGAGCAAGCUCGACGGUGAGGGAC
rnacentral:rRNA from 1 species